CCAUUGCUGCAUAUUCUCUAAAACCAAGGCCCGACUUCUGAUGAAGGCCAUGGGGAAGAAACUGUGCCCGGCCAGCAGAUUGCUUGUGGAGUUGAGCGGCUCUUGCCUUGUAACUGGCGUUUUCCUCUGUUACCUAGGCUGGAGGCUGGUGGAAUGGCUCAGUCCCCUCUUCCCUAGAAAAGAUGUGAACUAGGUCUGAACUAGGGUUGCAGUUGAGUCAAGUCCUAUUUAAGCAGGUCUUCACCUGGGUACCCCCGCCCCCUUCUGAUGGGCUCUCUACGUUUUCCUCUUUGUUUCGAUUGUCUAGAUGCUUGGAACCUCACGCCCAGCCUAGUCACGAGGUAGUUUUUAAAAAAUGAUUAUUAUUAUAUUUUUUUCUUUUUGCAAUGACUUUCUUUUAAUUUAUUAUUUUUUACUGCUUCAGCAUUCUAAAAGCUCAGGGAGAUAUCAUCGAUCCUUCAGAGGUGGAUCUAGAUUAGACUGGAGACUGCCUCUGAGGCUCUGGGCACAUGGAGUGUCUAACAUGGCGGCGGCUGCGGGAGAGGGAAGCGCUGUACAGGAGCUGCAUUGUGAGCACAAAGCGAAAGCAGAGGGGGAGGGCAGAGACCAGGCAGCAGCCCCGCCUAGCCCCCCCUCUCAAAAAAAGUGGAGCCACACCCACUCCAUUUUUGGCUUUAAUAUUUAGCCAUUCUGGGCCAUACUGUUAGAUUACUUAAAUCAGCU
rnacentral:lncRNA from 1 species